UUAGGCUUCUUUUCUUGGAAACUCGUCUAUCAUCACAAUAUCAGUGACGGCCAGCUGUCUCAUGCAGGUUUACAAAGUUAAGGUCCACACAGAAAGAAAAAUAAGUGACGCAGAUAAUGUUUUAUUCCAUUUGCAGGCGAUGUGUAGAAAGACUGAAAGUGUUUGUCUUCGACAUCAACAAAUGUUCCACAGCCAAAAUGGCUACAAUGUGAGUAGGCUUUCGACGUGUGAGCAUUGCUGGAACCAUCGAUAAAAAUGAAAUCCCAAAUAAAAUAAAAAAACGUUCCCGUAAGGGGCUUUCAUAAAGAAAAGUAAAUAAUAAAGUCUGUAUAACACCCAGGUGUUGACUGGUCAAAAGGAGGGAUGCAUUAAAGGUCGUAUAUAAAAAAACUUUGUGAACCAACGGUAUAUUUGAAAGGCAUAUUUGAUCGGUAUAUUUGAAUGAGGGUGGAAUAUAAAUGAAAUAUAUUUCACAGUAUUUCGAAAGCGUCUAUCUGCUUUGCGGCUAAAAGU
rnacentral:misc_RNA from 1 species